GAUGAACGCUAGCGGGAGGCUUAACACAUGCAAGUCGAGGGGUAACAUGAGGUAGCAAUACUUUGAUGACGACCGGCGCACGGGUGAGUAACGCGUAUGUAACCUACCUUGUACAGGGGGAUAGCCCGGAGAAAUUCGGAUUAAUACCCCAUAAUGAUAUCUGAAGGCAUCUUUAGGUAUUUAAAGUUUCGACGGUACGAGAUGGGCAUGCGUGACAUUAGCUAGUUGGUAAGGUAACGGCUUACCAAGGCUGCGAUGUCUAGGGGUCCUGAGAGGGUGAUCCCCCACACUGGUACUGAGACACGGACCAGACUCCUACGGGAGGCAGCAGUGAGGAAUAUUGGUCAAUGGGCGUAAGCCUGAACCAGCCAUCCCGCGUGAAGGAAGAAGGCGCUAUGCGUCGUAAACUUCUUUUCCGGAGGAAUAAAAUUUCGUACGUGUACGGGACUGAAGGUACUCCGAGAAUAAGCAUCGGCUAACUCCGUGCCAGCCGCCGCCGUAAUAC
rnacentral:rRNA from 1 species